GCCCCAGAGCAACGCCACAGGAGCCUGAUAGCGACGGCCUGCCCCAUAGCGGCCCCACAGGGAACCCCAUAGAAGCCCCAUGGCAAUCCCAUAGCGACCUCCUUCCUCACAGCAACCCCCCACAGCCCCCUCGAUGAGAACGAUGUUGAAACUGACCACGUGUGAUUGAAACUGCAUUAAGCUUCAAGAUCAAAGAAUGAGGACAGGAACAAAGACUUCAAGGACAGCCAGCAAGAACUUCAAAUGGGUCGGUGGUCGUAAAAGCAGCACUUCGACUCAAAUGGAUUCUUCAUUGCGCAUGAUCGGAUGUUCCAAAGGAGGUAAAGGCCUGAGCCAGAAAUGGGCAAAGAACUUCCCUAUUUCCAGUCUGUUCUCUGAAAACCAACAAAGGAGCAGAGCGAUGCAGUGA
rnacentral:lncRNA from 1 species